UACGUAGGAUCCGAGCGUUGUCCGGAUUUACUGGGUGUAAAGGGCGUGUAGGUGGGUCUCUAAGUCGGUGGUGAAAGCCCGCAGCUUAACUGCGGAACUGCCAUUGAUACUGGAGGUCUUGAGUACGGCAGAGGGAAAUGGAAUUCAUGGUGUAGCGGUGAAAUGUGUAGAUAUCAUGAAGAACACCGGUAGCGAAGGCGGUUUCCUGGUCCGUAACUGACACUGAGGCGCGAAAGCGUGGGGAGCAAACAGG
rnacentral:rRNA from 1 species